UAAAGAGCCGCGGUAUUUUGACCGUGCAAAGGUAGCAUAAUCAUUAGUUUCUUAAUUAGAGGCUUGAAUGAAUGGUUUGACGAAAAAUUAACUGUCUCUUAUUAAAUUUUAGAAUUUAACUUUUAAGUUAAAAGGCUUAAAUACUCCUUUAGGACGAGAAGACCCUAUAGAGCUUAACACUUAAAAAUUUUAUAUUAUUUUAGUUUAUCUUUUUAUGUAAAUUUUUUAGUAUUUGGUUGGGGUGACAUGAAGAAUAAUUAAACUCUUCAUUAUAAAAUCAUUAAUUUAUGUUUAUUUGAUCCAUAAUUUAUGAUCAUAAGAUUAAGUUACCUUAGGGAUAACAGCGUAAUCAUUUUUAAGAGUUCAUAUCAACAAAAUGGUUGCGACCUCGAUGUUGGAUUAAGAUUAAUUUUAGGUGUAGUA
rnacentral:rRNA from 1 species